rnacentral:lncRNA from 1 species
CCACAUCCUCGCCAGCAUCUGCUGUCACCUGAAUUUUUGAUCUUAGCCAUUUUGACUGGUGUGUGAUGGAAUCUCAGGGUUGUUUUGAUUUGCAUUUCCCUGGUGAUUAAGGAUGCUGAACAUUUUUUCAGGUGCUUCUCAGCCAUUCGGUAUUCCUCAGGUGAGAAUUCUUUGUUUAGCUCUGAGCCCCAUUUUUUAAUGGGGUUAUUUGAUUUUCUGGAGUCCACCUUCUUGAAUUCUUUAUAUAUAUUGGAUAUUAGUCCCCUAUCUGAUUUAGGAUAAGUAAAGAUCCUUUCCCAAUCUGUUGGUGGCCUUUUUGUCUUAUUGGCGGUGUCUUUUGCCUUACAGAAGCUUUGCAGUUUCAUGAGGUCCCAUUUGUUGAUUCUCGAUCUUACAGCACAAGCCAUUGCCGUUCUAUUCAGGAAUUUCCCCCCUGUGCCCAUAUCUUUGAGGCUUUUCCCCACUUUCUCCUCUAUAAGUUUCAUCUAGCUCUCACCUUUCUUACUCACUUCUCUAGCUGUCCUUCUCUCCCUCCCAUCCCCCUUCUCUCCCCAUAGCCAUGGCCAACUUCUUUCUCUCUCCUUCUACCUUCUCUCUUUCUCCCUGCCUUUCUACAAUAAAGCUCUUAAACCAUAGACCAUCUCUGCUCAUCAAAGCCUGCUGUGUUUGAAUGAUGGGAUAGGAUUUCCCCUAAUGAGUUGCGUCUAAUUUCCCUCCAGAAGGCCUUCCUACGCUCCAGCCACAGACGGGACCAAGGACUCUCGCCCAUGUGGGGACUACCCAGCUCCCCCUCUCCCCUGCCCUCUCCUCCCUUCGGCUCCAGAGAUGACUGAUCUCAAGUCUUCCAUGGUGUCCAGCAGUGUCUGGGAUGCCUGGGACUGAGAACCUGUUACCUAGAACUGCCCCUUGUUCACCCCCCUCCCCCACAGAGCUGGGAUUCCGUGGAUUCACACAGCCAGACACUUACCUGGGGCCCCCGUGGAAAGCAUGCGGCAGUUCUUCUGCAUCUGCCCUCCCAGAGCACCGAAACUCUGGCGGGAUGUGGGUCUUCUCCCACUCCCUUUGUUUCCCCACGCCCACUGCCCAACAAGUUGACACAAUGUAGAACCAUCUGGAAGAUGUUCUCCAUGAAGGCUUGUCUAGAUUAAGCUGACUUGUGGGCGUGUCUGGCGGCGGUAUUGUUUUACGUUAAUCGAUAUGGAAGAUACAGCCCAUUGUGGUCAGUGUUAUUCCAUGGCCUCUCUCCCUCUUUCUACCUUCUCUUUCCCCCUGCCUUUCUACAAUAAAGCUCUAAAACCAUAGACCGUCUCUGCUCAUCAAGGCCCCCUGUGCUUGAUCAAGAGUUUGGUUCCUGGGCUCUUUCUCCCCUAAGUUUCUGGGUGUCAGACAUUGUAUCACAACAUCAGAAAUGAAAUGAGAAUAAUUAGAGAUCAAGGAGACAUGAAAUUCUUGUUUGUUUUUGGCUUGCCCAAAACUCUAAUUCACCUUUUGUUGAAGUAGCUCCCAUCUUCGUCCUGCUACUUAUACAUACAAGA